rnacentral:rRNA from 1 species
UACGUAGGGCGCAAGCGUUGUCCGGAAUUAUUGGGCGUAAAGAGCUCGUAGGCGGCUUGUCACGUCGGAUGUGAAAGCCCGGGGCUUAACCCCGGGUCUGCAUUCGAUACGGGCUAGCUAGAGUGUGGUAGGGGGAAGAUCGGAAUUCCUGGUGUAGCGGUGAAAUGCGCAGAUAUCAGGAGGAACACCGGUGGCGAAGGCGGGUCUCUGGGCAACAACUGACGCUGAGGAGCGAAGGCCAGGGGAGCAAACGGG